CCUGGGUAGGGCAAAAGAAAAAAGACAAUUGAUAGCUUAGGAGAAAAUAUUUGCAACCUAUAACAAAAAAUGAACAUCAAGAAUCAUACAUAUUGAGAGGAAAAGGAAACUAUCCUAGAGAAAUAAAUUAAGGAUAUAAAACUGCAAUUUGCAGAAGAGAAAACACAAACAGUCAAUAAACAUGUGAAAAGAUGGUUAGACUCUCUGAUGAUCAGGGAAAUGUAAGUAAAAUAACAUCACUUUUCACUUAUCAGAUUGGCAGGGUACAAUGAAGACUGAAAACAUCAAAUGCGCUAACAAUGCAGGGAAAUGACCCCGUUCCCUCUGCUGGUGAGACAGAUGGUGGGAACAGCCUUCUGGGAAGGCAAUUUGGCAGUUCUGUUUAAAUGGACAGCCCCUCUGGCCCAGUAGUCCUACACUUUGGUCAUGAAAUUUCCCACGAGAGAUGUGCCCUCCCUGUACCAGGAGGAGAAAUACGUGCUUGUCACCAGAGACUGGGAGUCAACACGGAAGUGGAUCUGUGUGAACAAACCUGCUAAAAUAACCCUCAUCUUCCACUAGUUUUGCACCCCUCUGCCCCCAUAUACAGCUUCUAGUCACUUCCCCACAAUUACUGCCCUUAGGCCAAUCCCCUUUGUCUUGUCAUUUUUUCACAGAUUUAUUAUUUCUUUGCCUAAAUGGUAUAAAAGCUUUCAGCUCUGGUCACUUCCUUGGAACUUCAUUCUCUUGUAAAAGUCCCCAUGUAUGUGUAAAAUUUAAUAAAAUGUGUAUGAUUUUCUUCUGUUAA